rnacentral:rRNA from 1 species
CAGUAGCCGCGGUAAUACGAAGGGUGCAAGCGUUACUCGGAAUUACUGGGCGUAAAGCGCGCGUAGGUGGUUCAUUAAGUUGGAUGUGAAAGCCCUGGGCUCAACCUGGGAACUGCAUCCAAAACUGGUGAGCUAGAGUACGGUAGAGGGUAGUGGAAUUUCCUGUGUAGCGGUGAAAUGCGUAGAUAUAGGAAGGAACACCAGUGGCGAAGGCGACUACCUGGACUGAUACUGACACUGAGGCACGAAAGCGUGGGGAGCAAACAGGAUUAGAUACCCCAGUAGUCCCUGUCUCUUAUAC